AGCAGUCGCCGCGGUAAUACGGAGGAUCCAAGCGUUAUCCGGAAUCAUUGGGUUUAAAGGGUCCGUAGGCGGUCUUGUAAGUCAGUGGUGAAAGCCCAUCGCUCAACGGUGGAACGGCCAUUGAUACUGCAGGACUUGAAUUAUUGGGAAGUAACUAGAAUAUGUAGUGUAGCGGUGAAAUGCUUAGAGAUUACAUGGAAUACCAAUUGCGAAGGCAGGUUACUACCAAUUGAUUGACGCUGAUGGACGAAAGCGUGGGUAGCGAACAGGAUUAGAGACCCCUGUAGUCCCUGUCUCUUAUAA
rnacentral:rRNA from 1 species